rnacentral:rRNA from 1 species
UACGUAGGGUGCGAGCGUUAAUCGGAAUUACUGGGCGUAAAGCGUGCGUAGGCGGUUGGCAAAGUCAGCUGUGAAAGCCCCCGGGCUUAACCUGGGAAUGGCGGUUGAAACUAGUCGACUCGAAUCUGGCAGAGGGGUGGAAUUCCGACGUGUAGCAGUGAAAUGCGUAGAGAUGUGGAGGAACACCGAUGGCGAAGGCAGCCCCUGGGCUGAGAUUGACGCUCAGGCACGGAAAGCGUGGGAG